rnacentral:rRNA from 1 species
GUAGGGUGCGAGCGUUGUCCGGAUUUAUUGGGCGUAAAGAGCUCGUAGGCGGUUCGUCGCGUCUGUCGUGAAAGCCCGCGGCUCAACUGCGGGUCUGCGGUGGAUACGGGCGGACUGGAGUCCGACAGGGGAGACUGGAAUUCCUGGUGUAGCGGUGGAAUGCGCAGAUAUCAGGAGGAACACCGGUGGCGAAGGCGGGUCUCUGGGUCGGUACUGACGCUGAGGAGCGAAAGCGUGGGGAGCGAACAGGAUUAGAUACCCUGGUAGUCCACGCCGUAAACGUUGGGCGCUAGGUGUGGGGCAUGUUUCCACGUGUUCUGUGCCGUAGCUAACGCAUUAAGCGCCCCGCCUGGGGAGUACGGCCGCAAGGCUAAA